GACGAACGCUGGCGGCGUGCUUAACACAUGCAAGUCGAACGGAAACGCCCUGAUAUCUUGCUGUUCUCGAGUGGCGAACGGGUGCGUAACAGGUGAGCAACCUGCCCUUGUCUUUGGGAUAACUUCAGGAAACGGGGGCUAAUAUCGGAUAGGAGCUCCUGCUGCAUGGAGGGCGGUGGAACGUUUCGGCGGGAUGGGAUGGACGCGCGGCUGACGGGUUUGUUGGUUGGGUAGGGGCAGACCAAGCCUGUGGCGGGUAGCCAGCCCGGGAGGGUGGACGGCCACAAUAGGACUGAGGGACGGCCCAGACGCGUACGGGAGGCAACAGGGGGGAACAUUGCACAAUGGGCGGAAGCCGGAUGAAGCAACGCCGCGUGCGGGAUGACGGCCUGCGGGGUGUAAACAGCUUUCGCCUAUGACGAAGCGUGAGUGACGGUACUGGAUGAAGAAGCACCGGCUAACUACGUG
rnacentral:rRNA from 1 species